AAGUCGUAACAAGGUUUCCGUAGGUGAACCUGCGGAAGGAUCAUUAACACGUAUCCAAACGUUAAAACCCCCCCCCGUGAACCUUCAUCCUGCUCUUGUAACCCGCGUAGUUCGCAAUCUCUGAUAAAUCAUAGCCCGGAAAGUUGUAGUGAUUCAGAGACCUCUGGCUACGUGCGAACAUUGGAACAGUUACAAUCGAGCGGUAGUUCUAUAGGCAAUGUUUCCCCAAAGCUCUGCCCGAGUGUACGGUCUACAGGAAUCGUAGAAGCGCUAUCCUUGCACAAUGACACUUUCCGACACAGACUGCUUGGCCAUAGGGUCCCCAUGCCCCCUAAUAACCCCACAGUUUAAUGUGAAGCUCAAUGUAAUACAUUGGGUAAAAAAACCGAACAACUGUUAACAAUGGAUAUCUUGGUUCUC
rnacentral:misc_RNA from 1 species